rnacentral:rRNA from 1 species
UACGGAGGGUGCGAGCGUUGUCCGGAAUCAUUGGGCGUAAAGCGCGUGUAGGCGGCUUGGUAAGUCCGCUCUGAAAGCCCGGGGCUCAACCCCGGGAGGCGGGUGGAUACUGUCAAGCUCGAGUCCGGAAGAGGCGAGUGGAAUUCCUGGUGUAGCGGUGAAAUGCGCAGAUAUCAGGAGUAACACCAGUGGCGAAGGCAGCUCGCUGGGACGUGACUGACGCUGAGACGCGAAAGCGUGGGGAGCAAACAGG